AUUGAACGCUGGCGGUAUGCCUAACACAUGCAAGUCGAACGGCAGCACGGUAGAGACUUCGGUUUUUAUGGGUGGCGAGUGGCGGACGGGUGAGUAAUAGGUAGGAAUCUGUCCUGGAGAGGGGGAUAACUUGCGGAAACGCGAGCUAAUACCCCAUGAUAUUGAGAGAUCAAAAGCAGGGGACCAGCAAUGGCCGUGCGCUCUAGGGUGAGCCUAAGUCGGAUUAGUUAGUUGGGGGGGUAAAGGCCUACCAAGGCGACGAUCCGUAGCUGGUCUGAGAGGAUGACCAGCCACACUGGGACUGAGACACGGCCCAGACGCCUACGGGAGGCAGCAGUGGGGAAUCUUGGACAAUGGGGGAAACCCUGAUCCAGCGAUACCGCGUGUGUGAAGAAGGCCUUCGGGUUGUAAAGCACUUUAGGUGGGGAAGAAAAGUAGUCUAUGAAUAAUGGUCUAAGCUGACGGUACCCACAGAAUAAGCACCGGCUAACUCUGUGCCAGCCGCCGCCGUAA
rnacentral:rRNA from 1 species